UUGCUGGAUUUGCCAUUCAUCAUCACCAAGUUCCUAAGUCCUAAAGAUUGAGUCUACAGUGGCCAAAGGUCAGGACCAUGCUGGUGAUCAGGAGGAAGAUGGGAGGAAGGAAAAUAUGUCUUUGUUAAUUAAAAAGAACUAUAA
rnacentral:lncRNA from 1 species